AUUGAACGCUGGCGGCAGGCCUAACACAUGCAAGUCGAGCGGGGUUUUCGGACCUAGCGGCGGACGGGUGAGUAAUGCGUAGGAAGCUGCCCGAUAGAGGGGGAUACCAGUUGGAAACGACUGUUAAUACCGCAUAAUGUCUACGGACCAAAGUGUGGGACCUUCGGGCCACAUGCUAUCGGAUGCGCCUACGUGGGAUUAGCUAGUUGGUGAGGUAAUGGCUCACCAAGGCGGCGAUCUCUAGCUGGUUUGAGAGGAUGAUCAGCCACACUGGAACGGAGACACGGUCCAGACUGCUACGGGAGGCAGCAAUGGGGAAUAUUGGACAAUGGGCGCAAGCCUGAUCCAGCCAUGCCGCGUGUGUGAAGAAGGCCUUCGGGUUGUAAAGCACUUUCAGCGAGGAGGAAGGAGUGUGUGUUAAUAGUACACACCUUUGACGUUACUCGCAGAAGAAGCACCGGCUAACUCUGUGCCAGCCGCCGCCGUAACAC
rnacentral:rRNA from 1 species